rnacentral:rRNA from 1 species
ACGGAAGGCAGCAGUGGGGAAUAUUGCACAAUGGGGGAAACCCUGAUGCAGCAACGCCGCGUGAGUGAAGAAGUAUUUCGGUAUGUAAAGCUCUAUCAGCAGGGAAGAUAAUGACGGUACCUGACUAAGAAGCACCGGCUAAAUACGUGCCAGCAGCCGCGGUAAUACGUAUGGUGCAAGCGUUAUCCGGAUUUACUGGGUGUAAAGGGUGCGUAGGUGGCAUGGUAAGUCAGAUGUGAAAUACCGGGGCUCAACCCCGGGCUGCAUUUGAAACUGCCAGGCUGGAGUACAGGAGAGGCAAGCGGAAUUCCUAGUGUAGCGGUGAAAUGCGUAGAUAUUAGGAGGAACACCAGUGGCGAAGGCGGCUUGCUGGACUGUUACUGACACUGAGGCACGAAAGCGUGGGGAGCAAACAGGAUUAGAUACCCUGGUA